rnacentral:rRNA from 2 species
AAAUGCGAUACUUGGUGUGAAUUGCAGAAUCCCGUGAACCAUCGAGUCUUUGAACGCAAGUUGCGCCCGAAGCCAUUAGGCCGAGGGCACGCCUGCCUGGGUGUCACCAA